rnacentral:rRNA from 1 species
UUGCCAGACUCCUACGGGAGGCAGCAGUGGGGAAUAUUGGGCAAUGGGCGCAAGCCUGACCCAGCAAUGCCGCGUGAAGGAAGAAGGCUUUCGGGUUGUAAACUUCUUUGACAGGGGAAGAGCAGAAGACGGUACCCUGAAAACAAGCCACGGCUAACUACGUGCCAGCAGCCGCGGUAAUACGGAAGGUCCGGGCGUUAUCCGGAUUUAUUGGGUUUAAAGGGAGCGUAGGCCGGCUUUUAAGUCAGCUGUGAAAGUCCGCGGCUCAACCGUGGAAUUGCAGUUGAAACUGGAGGCCUUGAGUGCACACAGGGAUGCCGGAAUUCAUGGUGUAGCGGUGAAAUGCUUAGAUAUCAUGAAGAACUCCGAUCGCGAAGGCAAGUGUCCGGGGUGCAACUGACGCUGAGGCUCGAAAGUGCGGGUAUCAAACAGGAUUAGAUACCCCUGUAUG